UGAUUAGAUCAAAACGAGGGUUCUGUAGAAAAAAUCGAAUUGGAGAGCCCUAAAGAUGAAGACGACUUAUCCUUGGAAAGCAUUGACUUUGAGGAUCAAGACCUUGACAAAAAGCUUGAUGAGGAUGGGUUAAGUGAUGAUGAUACAGACGAGAUGGAAUAUCAAGAAAGGGAAGGAAAGGUUAUUGUUAUGAAAUUUGAAUAUCACAAUGUAAGGUAAAAUGUAUAUUUUAUAAAAAAAUACAUUUCAAAAUUUCUAAUCUUUAAUACUUUUCAGAUUUACGGAAAGGUCUUAGUUUCAAUCUAAUGCAGCUCUUUGCUCAUAUAAAUAUAUAUUUAUAUGAUCGCUAUAGUUGGCUAAAAGUACGGCUGGACCAAUUUGGCUGAACAUUUUUGAGUAAAAACUUUGAAUCUCCAGCUAGUUAUAUAAUAUAUCACUGCUUUUAUUCCAUGAUCAUA